GCUGGUUUGGCUCAGUGGAUAGAGCAUCAGCCUGUGGACUGAAGGGUCCUGGGUUUAAUUCCCAAGUCAGGA
rnacentral:tRNA from 1 species